rnacentral:rRNA from 1 species
AGGUCAAGCAAUAAGGGCACAGGGCGGAUGCCUUGGCACUAAGAGCCGAAGAAAGACGUGAUAAGCUGCGAUAAGCUUCGGGGAGGAGCAAAUAUCCUUUGAUCCGGAGAUCUCUGAAUGGGGAAACCCGGCAGAGCACACCUCUGUCAUCCAUACGCCAAUCCAUAACGUAUGGAAGGGAACCCGGGGAACUGAAACAUCUAAGUACCCGGAGGAAAAGAAAGAAAACUCGAUUCUGCAAGUAGCGGCGAGCGAACGCGGAAGAGCCUAAACCGGAAUGCGUGCAUUCCGGGGUUACGGACUGCAUUAAUGAUUCUUAGAAGCUAACAGAACGGUUUUGGGAAAGCCGGCCGAAGAGGGUGAAAGCCCCGUAUGUGAAAGCAGAUGAGACUGAGCAGGAUCCAGAGUACCACGAGACACGAGAAACCUUGUGGGAAGUCAGGGGGACCACCCCCUAAGGCUAAAUACUACUUAGUGACCGAUAGCGCAUAGUACUGUGAAGGAAAGGUGAAAAGGACCCCGGGAGGGGAGUGAAAGAGAACCUGAAACCCUGUGUCUACAAGCUGUGGGAGCACCUUAUGCGUGCAACCGCGUACUUUUUGUAGAACGGUCCGGCGAGUUACGCUUACUGGCAAGGUUAAG